ACUCGCCGCGCGCAACACUCACCAGGAAGUUGAUGUCGGCCGGGCGCACUAGGCGGUAGCUGCACGUCGCGCAAUCCUGGCUGCAUUCGGCCCGCACGGUCGCCAGGAGCCCGGGGCCGAGCAACAGCAGCCAAGUGCAAAGUGUCAGGAACCGCGCCAUGGACUGCGAAGAGAGAGGGACGCGUGCUUCGAGCCUGCCUGGGCGCAGAACGGGUCCCUCGGCAGGACCCUCGCCGCGACAGCCUCAGCAGGGGAUCGUCGAGCAAAAGCCCGCAGGAAUGCUCCUUUCUGGGGCCCCGCCCUCCCGGCCGACAGCUUUUAGGUAGACCUGGAGGCGACUCAGAUCGCCUCGCGGUUCCCGGGAUGGCGCGGUCGCCCCCAGCGCGAGGCUGCCUGGGGCACCCGGCUCUUAUCCUGGGCGUCCGCGGCCCAGGGCAAGAUUCCGGAGAGAACGCCGCAGACCAGGGGCGAGAGAGCGGGAGCCGGGGGAGGCAGGACAUUGACUGGGGUCACAAAGAAGAACGAGGGAACGCUGUUGGGGAACCCAUGCAAUGAAAUGUGAAGGGAAAGAGGGCGGGCAGACGUCCCCAAACCCGCGCAGCAAAGACAAGCUUCGGGCAAAUUCACUCACGUUGACGCUGUUCGGAUGGAGCAGGCCAAUUGGAAAAGCCGGGUUCCAGACACGACUCUAGAGGGAAGAGAAGAAGGAAGCUGAACUGACAUGAAACAAAAGAAGUCCGUUGUUUUGGAUUGAGUUCCAUACUUGGCUGGCCCAGAGAUUGAUCUCACCACCAUUCAGAGAUCCAAGAAGAAGCCACCUGUUGGAUUUAAGAAAACCCAGGCAGAUUUGGCAGUCUUCUUGAAAGGAAGUAAUGCUUAUUGUGGUCAGAAGAAAGAGUGAGGCAACUCAGGGUCUGAAAAAAGAGACAUGAAGAAUGCUGAGGACCAAUCCAUUCCAAGGUUCACUGUGGAAAUGGGGCCCAACCCUUAAAAGGUCACCAAUAAUGUGGAAUCCAUUUCGUGGAGACAAGCUACUUUUAGUCAAAAAUUGUAAGGCACGGUUUGUCAAGAUGGCCGAUACGCAACAGCUCCAGUCUACGCAUCCCAGCAUGAGCGAUGCAGAAGACGGGUGAUUUCUGCAUUUCCAACUGAGGUACCGGGUUCAUCUCACUGGGGCUUGUCGGACAGUGGGUGCAGGACAGUGGGUGAAGCCCACUGAGCAUGAGCCGAAGCAGGGCGAGGCAUCGCCUCACCCAGGAAGUGCAAGGGAUCAGAGAAUUCCCUUUCCUAGCCAAGGAAAGCUGUGACAGAUGGCACCUGGAAAAUUAGGUCACUCCCACCCUAAUAUUGCACUUUUCCAGUGGUCUUAGCAAACAACACACCAGGAGUUUAUAUCCCGCGCCUGGCCCAGAGGGUCCCACACCCACAGAGUCUAGCUCAUUGCUAGCAGAGCAGCCUGAGAUCGAACUGCAAGGCAGCAGCAAGGCUGGGAGAGGAGCGCCCACCAUUGCUGAGGCUUGAGUAGGUAAACAAAGCGGCUAGGAAACUUGAACUGGGUGGAGCCCACCGCAGCUCAAGGAGGCCUGCCUGCCUCUGUAGACUCCACCUCUGCAGCCAGGGCAUAGCUGAACAAAAGGCAGCAGAAACCUCUGCAGACUUAAAUGUCCCUGUCUGACAGUUUGGAAGAGAGUAGUGGUUCUCCCAGCAUGCAGCUGGAGAUCUGAGAAUGGACAAACUGCCUCCUCAAGUGGGUCCCUGACCCCCAAGUAGCCUAGCUGGGAGGCAUCCCCCAGUAGGGGCAGAAUGACACCUCACAUGGCCGGGUACCCCUCUGAGACGAAGCUUCCAGGGGAAAGAUCAGGCAGCAACAUUUGCUGUUCAGCAAUAUUCGCUGUUCUGCAGCUUCUGCUGCUGAUACCUAGGCAAACAGCGUCUGGAGUGGACCUCCAGCAAACUCCAACAGACCUGCAGAUGAGGAUCCUGACUGUUAGAAGGAAAACUAACAAACAGCAAGGACAUCCACACCAAAACCCCAUCUGUACGUCACCAUCAUCAAAGAACAAAGGUAGAUAAAACCACAAAAAUGGGGAAAAAACAGAGCAGAGAAGCUGAAAAUUCUAAAAAUCAGAGUGCCUCUCCCCCUCCAAAGGAAUGCAGCUCCUCGCCAACAAUGGAACAAAGCUGGAUGGAGAGUGACUUUGAUGAGUUGAGAGAAGAAGGCUUCAGACGAUCAAACUUCUCCGAGCUAAAGAAGGAAGAUCGAACCCAUCCCAAAGAAGCUAAAAAACUUUAAAAAAGAUUAGACAAAUGGCUAACUAGAAUAUCCAGUGUAGAGAAGUCCUUAAAUGAUCUGUUGGAGCUGAAAACCAUGGCAUGAGAACUACGCGAUGCAUGCACAAACUUCAGUAGCCGAUUUGAUCAAAUGGAAGAAAGGGUAUCAGUGAUUGAAGAUGAAAUGAAUGAAAUGAAGUGAGAAGAGAAGUUUAGAGAAAAAAGAGUAAAAAGAAAUGAACAAAGCCUCCAAGAAAUAUGGGACUAUGUGAAAAGACAAAAUCUAUGUCUGAUUGGUGUACCUGAAAGUGACAGGGAGAAUGGAACCAAGUUGGAAAACACUGCAGGAUAUUAUCCAGGAGAACUUCCCCAAUCUAGCAAGGCAGGCCAACGUUCAAAUUCAGGAACUACAGAGAACGCCACAAAGAUACUCCUCGAGAAGAGCAACUCCAAGACACAUAAUUGUCAGAUUCACCAAAGUUGAAAUGAAAGAAAAAAUGUUAAGGGCAGCCAGAGAGAAAGGUCAAGUUACCCACAAAGGGAAGCCCAUCACACUAACAGCUGAUCUCUCAGCCAAAACUCUACAAGCCAGAAAAGAGUGGGAGCCAAUAUUUAACAUUCUUAAAGAAAAGAAUUUUCAACCCAGAAUUUCAUAUCCAGCCAAACUAAGCUUCAUAAUUGAAGGAGAAAUAAAAUCCUUUACAGACAAGCAAAUGCUCAGAGAUUUUAUCACCACCAGGCCUGCCCUGCAAGAGCUCCUGAGGGAAGCACUAAACAUGGAAAGGAACAACUGGUACCAGCCACUGCAAAAACAUGCCAAAUUGUAAAGACCAUCAAGGCUAGGAAGAAACUGCAUCAACUAAUGAGCAAAAUAACCAGCUAACAUCAUAAUGACACAAUCGAAUUCACACAUAACAAUAUUAACCUUAAAUGUAAAUGGGCUAAAUUCUCCAAUUAAAAGACACAGAUUUGCAAAUUGGAUAAACAGUCAAGACCCAUCAGUGUGCUGUAUUCAGGAGACCCAUCUCACGUGCAGAGACACACAUAGGCUCAAAAUAAAGGGAUGGAGGAAGAUCUACCAAGCAAAUGGAAAACAAAAAAAGGCAGGGGUUGCAAUCCUAGUCUCUGAUAAAACAGACUUUAAAUCAACAAAGAUCAAAGGAGACAAAGAAGGCCAUUAUAUAAUGGUAAAGGGAUCAAUUCAAGAAGAAGAGCUAACUAUCCUAAAUAUAUAUGCACCCAAUACAGAAGCACCCAGAUUCAUAAAGCAAGUCCUUAGAGACCUACAAAGAGACUUAGACUCCCAAACAAUAAUAAUGGGAGACUUUAACACCCCACUGUCAACAUUAGACUGAUCAACAAGACACAAAGUUAACAAGGAUAUCCAGGAAUUGAACUCAGCUCUGCACCAAGCGGACCUAAUAGACAUCUACAGAACUCUCCACCCCAAAUCAACAGAGUAUACAUUAUUCUCAGCACCACAUCACACUUAUUCCAAAAUUGACCACAUAGUUGGAAGUAAAGCACUC